rnacentral:rRNA from 1 species
UACGGAAGGCAGCAGUGGGGAAUAUUGCACAAUGGGCGCAAGCCUGAUGCGGCCAUGCCGCGUGUAUGAAGAAGGCCUUCGGGUUGUAAAGUACUUUCAGCGGGGAGGAAGGCGGUGAAGUUAAUAGCUUCACCGAUUGACGUUACCCGCAGAAGAAGCACCGGCUAACUCCGUGCCAGCAGCCGCGGUAAUACGGAGGGUGCAAGCGUUAAUCGGAAUUACUGGGCGUAAAGCGCACGCAGGCGGUCUGUCAAGUCGGAUGUGAAAUCCCCGGGCUUAACCUGGGAACUGCAUUCGAAACUGGCAGGCUAGAGUCUUGUAGAGGGGGUAGAAUUCCAGGUGUAGCGGUGAAAUGCGUAGAGAUCUGGAGGAAUCCGGUGGCGAAGGCGGCCCCUGGGACAAGACUGACGCUCAGGUGCGAAAGCGUGGGGAGCAAACGAGGAUUAGAUACC